AACGAACGCUGGCGGCAGGCUUAACACAUGCAAGUCGAACGCCCCGCAAGGGGAGUGGCAGACGGGUGAGUAACGCGUGGGAACGUACCCUUUGGUUCGGAACAACCCUGGGAAACUAGGGCUAAUACCGGAUACGAGCGGAGGCUUAGCGGCUUUUGCUGAAAGGUUUACUGCCGAAGGAUCGGCCCGCGUCUGAUUAGCUAGUUGGUGAGGUAACGGCUCACCAAGGCGACGAUCAGUAGCUGGUCUGAGAGGAUGAUCAGCCACAUUGGGACUGAGACACGGCCCAAACUCCUACGGGAGGCAGCAGUGGGGAAUAUUGGACAAUGGGCGCAAGCCUGAUCCAGCCAUGCCGCGUGAGUGAUGACGGCCCUAGGGUUGUAAAGCUCUUUUACCUGGGAAGAUAAUGACGGUACCAGGGGAAUAAGCCCCGGCUAACUUCGUGCCAGCCGCC
rnacentral:rRNA from 1 species